rnacentral:misc_RNA from 1 species
UCCGGUUUGUCACCGGCAGUCUGCCUAGAGUCCCCAACUAAAUGAUGGCAACUAGGCACAGGGGUUGCGCUCGUUACGGGACUUAACCCAACAUCUCACGACACGAGCUGACGACAGCCAUGCAGCACCUGUCUCUCAGUUCCCGAAGGCACCCCCGCGUCUCCGCGGGGUCCUGAGGAUGUCAAGGGUAGGUAAGGUUUUUCGCGUUGCAUCGAAUUAAACCACAUGCUCCACCGCUUGUGCGGGCCCCCGUCAAUUUCUUUGAGUUUUAGCCUUGCGGCCGUAUUCCCCAGGCGGAGUACUUAAUGCGUUUGCUCCGCCACUGAGGGGCAGUGCCCCCCAACAGCUAGUACUCAUCGUUUACAGCGUGGACUAC